rnacentral:ncRNA from 2 species
AGAAAUAUGUCUGAUAAAAGAGUUACUUUGA